rnacentral:rRNA from 1 species
GACGAACGCUGGCGGCGUGCUUAACACAUGCAAGUCGAACGGUAAGGCCUUCGGGUACACGAGUGGCGAACGGGUGAGUAACACGUGGGUGAUCUGCCCUGCACUUCGGGAUAAGCCUGGGAAACUGGGUCUAAUACCGGAUAGGACCAUGGACUUCACGGUUUGUGGUGGAAAGCUUUUGCGGUGUGGGAUGGGCCCGCGGCCUAUCAGCUUGUUGGUGGGGUAAUGGCCUACCAAGGCGACGACGGGUAGCCGGCCUGAGAGGGUGUCCGGCCACCCUGGGACUGAGGUACGGCCCAGACUCCUACGGGAGGCAGCAGUGGGGAAUAUUGCACAAUGGGCGCAAGCCUGAUGCAGCGCCGCCGCGUGGGGGAUGACGGCCUUCGGGUUGUAAACCUCUUUCAGUAGGGACGAAGCGCAAGUGACGGUACCUACAGAAGAAGCACCGGCCAACUACGUGCCAGCCGCCGCGGUAA